rnacentral:lncRNA from 1 species
AAAUUGUGUUACCUUCAUCAUUGCAUUUUAAUAAAUUAUUAAAGGUAAUUCGAGUUUUACUUAUUUACUGCUUGAGCUUAAUGUAUGUAGGUCAAGUCACGCUUAAUUAGGUAAAGCCUAAACUACACUGCAUCAUUUCACAAUUUUACAUCCUCCAGAGUCGACUCCAAGAACUCUUCUCCAAAACCCAAUACUUAAUUCCUGACUCUUCACACGUUCACCUAAAUUUCUUUCCACUCGUUC